rnacentral:rRNA from 1 species
AGAGAUUCUCUUGUUGACAUUUUAAAAGAGCGUGGAUUACUAUCUGAGUCCGAUGCUGUUCAACCACUAAUAGGUAAGAAAUCAUGAGUCAAGUUACUGAACAAUCCGUACGUUUCCAGACCGCUUUGGCCUCUAUUAAGCUCAUUCAGGCUUCUGCCGUUUUGGAUUUAACCGAAGAUGAUUUCGAUUUUCUGACGAGUAACAAAGUUUGGAUUGCUACUGACCGCUCUCGUGCUCGUCG